rnacentral:rRNA from 1 species
GAAUAUUGCGCAAUGGGGGCAACCCUGACGCAGCCAUGCCGCGUGUGUGAAGAAGGCCUUCGGGUUGUAAAGCACUUUCACUUGGGAAGAAAGGUUGGUGGUUAAUACCCGCCAGCUGUGACAUUACCUUGAGAAGAAGCACCGGCUAACUCCGUGCCAGCAGCCGCGGUAAUACGGAGGGUGCAAGCGUUAAUCGGAAUUACUGGGCGUAAAGCGCGCGUAGGCGGUUUGUUAAGUCGGAUGUGAAAGCCCCGGGCUCAACCUGGGAAUUGCACCCGAUACUGGCCGACUAGAGUACGAGAGAGGGAGGUAGAAUUCCACGUGUAGCGGUGAAAUGCGUAGAUAUGUGGAGGAAUACCGGUGGCGAAGGCGGCCUCCUGGCUCGAUACUGACGCUGAGGUGCGAAAGCGUGGGGAGCAAACAGG